rnacentral:lncRNA from 1 species
AUUCACUAUCUUUUUUUUAAAAAAAAUAAUUAGCCUCUUAAAUUUUUAUAAGACUUUUGUUUGGAAUUGCGGGAAAGAAUUGCGAAAAAAUUACGUAACGUUCCGUAAGAAAGUACAAUAAAAAAAUAUUCUAUUUAUUUUUGUACAUAAUAUUACGUUCCGCAUAUCGCGAUGAGUCGUUUACGAUAUAUAUUUUAUGGUCUCAUCGAAGAACGCAAAAAUAUAUUUCUAUAUAUUUUUAUUCUAACUCUAUUUUAUCUAGUAGUAUGACCCAAUAUCAAACUAAACCUCUAAGUUAUUCUUUUCAAUUGAAGUUACUAAUAAA